GAUGGCUGUGACGAUUUGUAAAUAUUCAAGCUCAACAGACCAAAUCACAUGUUUUCAUCUAGGAGUUGAUUUGUAUGUCGAUUUAUCCUGCUGAACCGGGCCAUG